rnacentral:lncRNA from 1 species
GUUGGAGGCACCACCACUGAGGGAGGGGAAGACGGCAGGAUCACGGGUACCACUGCAUUUCCUGAAGCCUCAGGAAUCAGUGAUCUUCAAGGAUGCGGCUGUGGACUUUACCAGGAAGAGUGGGCCUUGCUGGACACAUCCCAGAGAAAGCUGUACAGAGAUGUGAUGCUGGAGAAUAUCAGGCAUCUUGUCUCUGUGGAAGUGACCUUAAAAACCAGGAAAUGACAUGUAUACCAGAUAUCUGCAGGAAGGACCUUCUAACCACACAGUCAAUGAAAUCUCACACCGGAGAGGGACUCGUGGAAUAGAAUGAGUGUAAGGAUGAUUUCACUCACGGAUUAACGGUGACUUCACAUGUGUUAACUCAAAAGGGCCCAGGAGAUCCACCUCAUUAAGCUGUUGGACCAAUCGAGGCAGCAAAGCUAUGAAGAAACACCAAAGUGUCACCGGGAAAAGACCACAGAUUUUCUCAAGGACGUGCAAUCCAGUUUUCAGAGGCUCUAGGCUCAGGAAAGCCCAGAGUGUGAGACUGUUGUGUUGUUGUGGACAUCGGAUCAAGCCUCAUGGCCAAUUUGGCAGGAGGUACCCAAAGAACUCCACGCAGGAGAUCUUUGAAGAGCUACAUGAUGGGUUCGACUUCUCUCCCUCCCUAGUCAAGGGGCAGGAGCAGCAGGCCGCCAGCAGCAUCCUGUGCCGGUCUGAGAACUCCACUCAGGAGAUGUUUGAAGAGUUAUGUGUUGGGUUCGACUUCUCUCC